rnacentral:rRNA from 1 species
UACGGAAGGCAGCAGUGGGGAAUAUUGCACAAUGGGCGAAAGCCUGAUGCAGCUAUGCCGCGUGUAUGAAGAAGGCCUUAGGGUUGUAAAGUACUUUCAUCGGGGAGGAAAAACAAAACUAAUAAUUUUAUUUCUUGACGUUACCCGAAAAAGAAGCACCGGCUAACUCCGUGCCAGCAGCCGCGGUAAUACGGAGGGUGCUAGCGUUAAUCAGAAUUACUGGGCGUAAAGAGCACGUAGGUGGUUUUUUUAAAGUCAGAUGUGAAAUCCCUGGGCUUAACCUAGGAACUGCAUUUUGAAACUGAAAUACUAGAGUAUCGUAGAGGGAGGUAGAAUUCUAGGUGUAGCGGUGAAAUGCGUAGAUAUCUGGAGGAAUACCUGUGGCGAAAGCGGCCUCCUAAACGAAUACUGACACUGAGGUGCGAAAGCGUGGGGAGCAAACCAGGGAUUAGAUACC